AUGGAGAUGGAGGCGGCGGCUCCUCUUUCCAAGAAGAGAAAAUCGGAGUUGCCCGGAAGCAACCAACCGGAGGAAAUCUUAAGCCAUGAGCCGACGGCGGCGGCCAUGGAGGCGCCCGAAUCCGACAUCCGAGAACCACCGCUUGGAGCUGGAGGAGCAGAAGACGGCGUCGACCACAUCAGCGGACUGCCCGACGCCGUCCUCGGCGACUUCAUCUCCCUUCUCCCCACCACGGAGGGCGCCCGCACCCAAACCCUCGCCUCCCGGUGGCGCCACCUCUGGCGCUCCGCUCCUCUCAAUCUCGACUACUACGACCUCCCCGCCGAAGGUGACAACGUUCUAAUACGCCUCAUUUCCCAGAUCCUCUCCGCCCACGCUGGCUCCGGCCGCCGCUUGUGCGUCUCCGCGCACCACCUGUACCACCACGCUGCCACCGUGGAUGCCUGGCUCCGGUCUGCUGGCCUCAGCAACCUCCAGGAGCUCGAGUUCUGCUGCGCGGGCGAUCCACUGGUACUGCCGGCGGUGACGGCGCCCACCUUCCGUUUCUCGUCCAGCCUCCGUCUGGCCACAUUCAGCCAAUGCCGCUUCCCCGACAGCAUCGUCCAGACGCUUCAUUUCCCCCAGCUCAAGCAGCUCGCACUUGAAGAGGUCAGCAUCUCGGAAGGUUCUCUGCAGAGCGUCAUCGCUGGUUGCCCCGUCCUGGAAUCCAUGCUUCUUAACCACUGCAUUGGCUUCGGCUGCAUUCGGAUCUGCUCCCCAAACCUUAGAACCAUUGGCGUACGUGCUGGAAAUGCUGGAUACCGAGAUAAAUUGGUGAAAAUCUCUAUUGAGGAUGCCCCUUGUCUUGAAAGGUUGCUCCAACUCAACAAAACUACGGGCUUGGACAUAUCGAUAAUAUCAGCGCCCAACCUGGAGACCAUGGGCUGCCAUCGUUACGAUGACUCUUACGGCUUCAGCUUUAAGGGAUUUCCUACUCUGUUCCCAAUGGUGGUAGACACUGUCAAGACUUUAUCUAUCUCUGUUCUUCCUCUCUGUGUGGAUAUGGUUCUUGAUCUCAUGUGUUGCUUUCCCUGCUUGGAGAAGUUGUAUAUCGAGAUAUGUUUGUCGUCGGGGAAAAAGAGUUUUUGGCGUCGUAAACACCAGAGUCACAUCAGAUGCCUUGACAUCCGUCUCAAGAAAGUAGUGUUGGCAAAUUAUCGAGGCAUCAUGUCAGAAGUUAACUUUGCCAUGCUCUUUGUCCUGAAUGCUAAAAUGCUAGAGUUAUUACGAUUUGAGGUUCAAGGCCGGUGCUGUGAAAAGUUCAUUGAAAGGCAGCAUAGGUUGCUUAAGCUUGGGAACAGGGCUUCCAGAGGUGCUCAGUUUGUUUUCACAAAGGAUAGAUGUCGCCGCAAACUUGAGGACAUCAAGCAUGUGCGGGAUUUGUCUGUAGCUGAUCCCUUUGAAUGCUGA
rnacentral:rRNA from 1 species